rnacentral:rRNA from 1 species
UGGCGGCGAUCCAACACAUGAGGAUGAGCGAGAAAGCUCCUUCGGGAGCAAGUAAAGCGGCGGAUUGGCGAGUAACACGUGAGAAUCUGCCCUGUAGUGAAGGAUACCUUUGAGAAAUUGAAGUUAAUACUGCAUGAGUCCUUCGGGAGAAAGGCGUCUUUUAUGUCGCCGCUACAGGAUGAGCUUGCGGACUAUCAGCUAGUUGGUGAGGUAAAUGCUUACCAAGGCUAUGACGGUUAACCGGCCUGAGAGGGUGUACGGUCACACAGGCACUGAGAUACGGGCCUGACUCCUACGGGAGGCAUCAGUGGG